rnacentral:sRNA from 27 species
CCGCAGCCUAAGCGGCCCGAAAGGGGAAUUAGGACAGGGAUCAGUCGUUGAGUGCCCUGAUUCGGAACUAACCUCGACAGCU